UCAACAUGCUUCUGAAGUUUGGUUUAAUAUUUUCGCUUCUGAUUAACUCUGUUGUCUCGAAGAUAUCGCAAGACUUGAACGAAGCUUCUGAGACUCGAACAAGAGAGAUUGCUAAAGGAUUAAGGGAAAAAAGGAUAUUCGAGGCCAUUGGUGCAGCUCUGAGGGAAAAAGGUAAAUUGGCGAAAGGAAUACUAAAUUCUGUAGUAGGAGGAGUAGCAGAAUAUGCAGCAGCUCCUAUUACGAAAGAUUUAACGAAGAAGCAAGAUUCCAUUAUUAGUGACAAUAUAGAUAAACUGCUAAAGAAGUUGUGCCAGCUACGCCCUCGUUUCUACAAUGUGUUAGGCAAGUAUAUAAGGCACGCGCACCACCCGCAGCCUUAAACAAAAUAGCUGGAUCUGCUAAGGAAUUUGGGUAUGCAUUUAUUUCCGCUGUAAAGGGCAAUAACAGCAAACUACUUAAUAUGUUAAAGGAUGUACUUGCGAUCCCCCAGGUUCAUAAUUGUGCAAAUGUCAUGCACAAAGCUUAUAAAAAAUCUGCUUCACUGCAGGAAAAAGUAGAUGAAGAAUGCAAAUAGGUUGUUUGAUGGUAACAACAACUCGUAAUACUAAACACUGUCGACUUGGAAAACGAAUUGUUCCCAAUUGACAACAACUAAAAGGCAACAUUGUAAUAAAUUCAAAUUGUUUCGAAGCUAAGAGCAAUCGCUGAUAUAUUGGGUAUGACUUAACUGUUAACUUAUUUUAUUUAAUUUGAUCAGUUUCAUGGAUUUCAAUAAAAAUGUAAAAACAAACAACUGAAAACCAACAUGGCGAACCAUAAGAGCUGCUUUAUAAUAAAAUAAAUGCUUAAUUCUUGCUAAUCGCA